CUAUCACCAGGAGCAUUAUGACCUUGCUUUCCUUAAGAUUGCAAUGGAUCGGAGUGUUCAAGUAGCCUCUUUCGCUGACACGUUCAACAGUGGUCAGCAGGCUUUGCAGCUCGGAAGAGAUGGAAAUUUGAUUUUAAGGAUAACUCUUGGCAAGGUGACGCAAGGUGACUUCGUGUAUUUUUGUCGAGAUAAAAAAUACGAGGAGGCGGAGACACGGAGGAGAGAGAGUGCGCGGAAUGGACCGGGAUAUACUUUAUAUGCAUCAUUUCCCACUGAGUUACAUGUAAGCUUGGCCUUCUAUUUUCUAAUUCGUUCACACUAUUUUGUUUUUGUUUAUUAUAUAAGGACAUUUAUAUACAUAUCCUUUAGUCCGACGAUGGUGGAGCGCCGGUCAUUGACUUUGAUGGAAAGGUUGUGGGGAUGAUCAAUGAUUGUAAACAUGGGUUCUUUGUUCCUUUUUUCAUUUUGAAUAGGUGCAUGGAACUCUGGAGGAAUUUCGGGUAUGCAUUCUUCCUCGGUUUUAUGACAAUGCUGGCUAAUGCAUUCUUUCUCCUUUUUUUGUUCUUGUUGUAUGUAGUUGGACUACAUGUAUGACCUCAUCAAUAGAGAGAAAGCCUACAUUUUGAUUGGUCAAAAUUUGAUUGUUAUCAUGCUCUGUGUUUAUAAUAUUUGAUACAUUUAUGUACUCCCUCCGAUCUAAAUUAAUUGACUCACACUUAGUACAACUUUGUACUAUAGUUGUACUAAGUGUCCAGCAUUUAAUUUGGAUCGGUGGAAGUAUUUGUUUUACAACAUCAUGUGUGAGUGACACUAUAGACCAGGGUGGAACUUCAAAGGGGGCAUGGUGGAUAGGAGCAUAUUGUAAGAUUUUUCACGACAUUACCAUUAUAGGGGAGAAUUUGUUGAUCGUUGAGAUGAUUAUGAGUGUUUUACUACUUUUUAUAUCGAUGGUGUGUAAAUGAUGUUUAAUUGAAGGAAUCAUAUUUCUAUAGCUAAAACUGAUUGUAGGUGCAUCCCUCGGCCCCAUCUUGGAUUGAAGUUUAAGGCCCUCAAGUUUCUAAAUCCCUCUUAUGUUGAGUACAUAUUGCGCAAGCUAGACAUUGAUGACGGUCUUCUAGUUGAAGAGGUGUCAAUGGGAUCUCAAGCUGAGAAAGUUGGUAUCCAAGUAGGUGAUAUUAUUGGAAGCAUUGAUGGAGAAAGCAUUUCAACCAGAAUUGAGUUGGAGAAAAAAUUGUUGAGUAUAUCAAUGGGCAGUUUUCAUGGGGGAAAUGACAUUACUACCAAAGUGGAAAUUUCUGUCCGAGUAUUUCACACGAACAACCGUCUUUGGAGGGAAAAACAUUUAAAUGUAAAUAUAUCGGAUCACCGAGAAGUCGUUGAACGAGCUUUUUAUCUCAUCACUAAUGGAGAAGGGGUUUCUCCCCCUGUAUAACAUGUCCAAGUUUAAUUAGAAUCGGAUUCGAACAAGUCGCUUUGUUGUGCUUGCACUACUACAUAUGAGGGUUCAUGUCUUCAAAGUAUUCUUUUUGUACAAUGGAGGGACAACAUCUAGAAUAAUAAGACAAGAUUGUUUAGCCAAGUCCUAUAUUUCAAGGUCUUACAUAUGCCUAUAUAUUUAGGGGAGCUAAGACCAAGAGUUUCGACGCUAAGAGGGGGGCAUUUUUAAUAACUUUAAGGAAGACCCGCCACAUGUAAUAUUAUUGUUGUUGUAUGGAUGCCCACGGGGAUAUUUUAGGUGCCAUUUUAAGAGUAUCAAGAAAUGUGCUAUUUUCACAUUGUUCUGAGAACAUGUGUCUUUCAAGUUAAACGAGCAAAGCAGUUCCACAAAACGGAGAGGGCGUGGACCAA